GACGAACGCUGGCGGCGUGCUUAACACAUGCAAGUCGAACGAUGAACCGGAGCUUGCUCUGGGGAUUAGUGGCGAACGGGUGAGUAACACGUGGGCAACCUGCCCCAGACACCGGGAUAACCAUUGGAAACGAUGGCUAAUACCGGAUACGACCACUUCGGGCAUCCGAUGGUGGUGGAAAGGAUUCUGGUCUGGGAUGGGCCCGCGGCCUAUCAGCUUGUUGGUGGGGUAAUGGCCUACCAAGGCGACGACGGGUAGCCGGCCUGAGAGGGCGACCGGCCACACUGGGACUGAGACACGGCCCAGACUCCUACGGGAGGCAGCAGUGGGGAAUAUUGCGCAAUGGGCGAAAGCCUGACGCAGCGACGCCGCGUGAGGGACGAAGGUCUUCGGAUUGUAAACCUCUUUCAGCAGGGAUGAAGCGAAAGUGACAGUACCUGCAGAAGAAGCAACCGGGCUAACUACGUGCCAGCAG
rnacentral:rRNA from 1 species